GGCCCACGGGGCGCAGCAGUGGGGAAUAUUGGACAAUGGGGGGAACCCUGAUCCAGCGACGCCGCGUGAGUGAAGAAGUAUUUCGGUAUGUAAAGCUCUAUCAGCAGGGAAGAAAGAAAUGACGGUACCUGACUAAGAAGCCCCGGCUAACUACGUGCCAGCAGCCGCGGUAAUAUGUAGGGGGCAAGCGUUAUCCGGAUUUACUGGGUGUAAAGGGAGCGUAGACGGCGAUGCAAGUCUGAAGUGAAACGUACCGGCUCAACCGGUACAGGCUCUGGAAACUGGCGGGCUAGAGAGCAGGAGAG
rnacentral:rRNA from 1 species